rnacentral:rRNA from 1 species
GAUCUUUAUAGAUUAAUAAUUAAAUAAAAAUUAGUUAAAUAUUUAUUUUUAAUUUUUAAUAUAUUAUAUUGGGGUAAUAAUAAAAUUUAAUAAAUUUUUAUUUUUUGUAAACAAAUAUAAUUGAUUAAUUGAUCCAAUAAUAUUGAUUAUAAAGUUAAGUUACCUUAGGGAUAACAGCAUAAUGAUUUUUGAGAGUUCUUAUCGAUAAAAUAGAUUAU